rnacentral:ncRNA from 2 species
CUCUUAUCAAGAGAGGUGGAGGGAAUAGGCCCGAUGAAACCCGGCAACCUUCAAACAUGGUUUGAAAAGGUGCCAAUUCCUACAGGUCAGGAUGUAGAUCUGAGAGAUAAGAG